rnacentral:lncRNA from 12 species
CUAGGAGCUGCCUAAAUUCCACGUAAAAUCCAGUAGUAGCAUUCAGCCUCAGCAGUGUUGCUAGUGCUCAGGAGGGGUGCAAGACUGCAUGUGCAGAAAGCUCCCUUUCCACCCCCCAUGCCCCUCCACAUUGCAAUGCACAUCACUGCUGUCAGAGCAGCAUGAAAAUGUAUGCAGGUACAACACCGGCCUUUUACAACUGUCUGAGCCAAA